GAUGAACGCUGGCGGCGUGCCUAAUACAUGCAAGUCGAGCGAACAGACGAGGAGCUUGCUCCUCUGACGUUAGCGGCGGACGGGUGAGUAACACGUGGAUAACCUACCUAUAAGACUGGGAUAACUUCGGGAAACCGGAGCUAAUACCGGAUAAUAUAUUGAACCGCAUGGUUCAAUAGUGAAAGACGGUUUUGCUGUCACUUAUAGAUGGAUCCGCGCCGCAUUAGCUAGUUGGUAAGGUAACGGCUUACCAAGGCAACGAUGCGUAGCCGACCUGAGAGGGUGAUCGGCCGCCCUGGAACUGGGACACGGUCCAGACUCCUACGGGAGGCAGCAGUAGGGAAUCUUCCGCAAUGGGCGAAAGCCUGACGGAGCAACGCCGCGUGAGUGAUGAAGGUCUUCGGAGCGUAAAACUCUGUUAUUAGGGAAGAACAAAUGUGUAAGUAACUAUGCACGUCUUGACGGUACCUAAUCAGAAAGCCACGGCUAACUACGUG
rnacentral:rRNA from 1 species